UUUGUAUUCCCUCUGUCUGGAAAUACUUGUCCGAGGAAUGGAUGUAUCUAGAUGUAUUUUAGUUCUAGAUACAUCUAUUUGUAUUCAUUUUUACCACAAGUAUUUUCGGACGGACAGAGUAUGUU
rfam:Triticum aestivum genome assembly, contig: Triticum_aestivum_CS42_TGACv1_scaffold_434201_5DL